rnacentral:rRNA from 1 species
CAAAGAUUAAGCCAUGCAUGUGUCAGUACAAACCAAUAUAAGGUGAAACCGCGAAUGGCUCAUUAAAUCAGCUAUGUUUUAUUGGAUCUGUACCCCCCAUUUACUUGGACAACUGUGGUAAUUCUAGAGCUAAUACAUGCACACAUAGACCCUGACCGUGAGGGAAGGGCGCUUUUAUUAGUUCAAAACCGGUCGGGCCUCGGUCCGUAAACCCACCUGUGAUGACUCUGAAUAACUUUUAGCUGAGCGCACGGUCUCCGUACUGGCGCCGCAUCUUUCAAGUGUCUGCCUUAUCAGCUUUCGAUUGUAGGUUAUGCGCCUACAAUGGCUAUAACGGGUAACGGGGAAUCAGGGUUCGAUUCCGGAGAGGGAGCCUGAGAAACGGCUACCACAUCUAAGGAAGGCAGCAGGCACGCAAAUUACCCACUCCCGGCACGGGGAGGUAGUGACGAAAAAUAACGAUGCGAGACUCAUCCGAGGCCUCGCAAUCGGAAUGAGUACACUUUAAAUCCUUUAACGAGGACCCAUUGGAGGGCAAGUCUGGUGCCAGCAGCCGCGGUAAUUCCAGCUCCAAUAGCGUAUAUUAAAGUUGUUGCGGUUAAAAAGCUCGUAGUUUGACUACAGUUCUGGACUGACGUUUCACCGCCCGGUGCUUACUGUCACGCUCCGAAACCGCUCAUUAAUUUGAGCCCUGCCGGCUUGCACGGGGUGCUCUUCACCGAGUGUCCCGAGUGGCCGGCAUGUUUACUUUGAAAAAAUUAGAGUGCUUAAAGCAGGCUACUUGUAUGGCCUGAAUGUCUAUGCAUGGAAUAAUGGAAUAGGACCUCGGUUCUAUUUUGUCGGUUUUCCUUAUCGGAACCCGAGGUAAUGACUAAUCGAGACAGGCGGGGGCAUUCGUACUGCGACGCUAGAGGUGAAAUUCUUGGACCGUCGCAAGACGAACUACUGCGAAAGCAUUUGCCAAGGAUGUUUUCAUUAAUCAAGAACGAAAGUUAGAGGUUCGAAGGCGAUCAGAUACCGCCCUAGUUCUAACCAUAAACGAUGCUAACUAGCGAUCCGCCGGCGUUAUUCCCAUGACCCGGCGGGCAGCUUCCGGGAAACCAAAGUCUUUGAGUUCCGGGGGAAGUAUGGUUGCAAAGCUGAAACUUAAAGGAAUUGACGGAAGGGCACCACCAGGAGUGGAGCCUGCGGCUUAAUUUGACUCAACACGGGGAACCUCACCAGGCCCAGACACUGGAAGGAUUGACAGAUUGAGAGCUCUUUCUCGAUUCGGUGGGUGGUGGUGCAUGGCCGUUCUUAGUUGGU